UACGUAGGGGGCUAGCGUUGUCCGGAAUCAUUGGGCGUAAAGCGCGUGUAGGCGGCCCGGUAAGUCCGCUGUGAAAGUCGGGGGCUCAACCCUCGGAUGCCGGUGGAUACUGUCGGGCUCGAGUACGGAAGAGGCGAGUGGAAUUCCCGGUGUAGCGGUGAAAUGCGCAGAUAUCAGGAGGAACACCGAUUGCGAAGGCAGCUCGCUGGGACGUUACUGACGCCGAGACGCGAAAGCGUGGGGAGCAAACAGG
rnacentral:rRNA from 1 species